rnacentral:rRNA from 1 species
UGAGCAAUCUGCCCUUCUCAUCGGAAUAAGCGUUGGAAACGACGUCUAAUGCCGAAUACGACCUCUUUUCACAUGAUCGGAGGUGGAAAGCUCCGGCGGAGAAGGAUGAGCUCGCGGCCUAUCAGCUAGUUGGUGUGGGUAACGGCCCACCAAGGCGACGACGGGUAGCCGGCCUGAGAGGGUGACCAGCCACACUGGGACUGAGACACGGCCCAGACUCCUACGGGAGCAG